rnacentral:pre_miRNA from 1 species
AAAGUACUCCCUCCAUCCCAAAAUUCUUGUCUUAGAUUUGUAUAGAUACGGAUGUAUCAAGUCACAUUUUAGUAUUAGAUACAUCCGUAUCUAGACAAAUCUAAGACAAGAAAUUUGGGACAGAGGGAGUAGUUG